UAAAAAAACAAACUCUGGUUUCCGUGUCCAGCGUUUGACUGUCUGUCUUAUUUGAAAAAAUUAUGAAAAAAAUUAAAAAGAUAAGUCACGCAUAAAGUAUUAAUUAUGUUUUAUCAUCUAACAACAAUGAAAAUACUAAUUAUAAAAAAAUUUCAUAUAAAACGGACAGUCAAACAUUGUUUCAUAUAAAAACGGACAGUCAAACAUUGGCACGGGAACCCACGGUUUAUCUUUUU
rnacentral:pre_miRNA from 1 species